GAUGAACGCUAGCUACAGGCUUAACACAUGCAAGUCGCGGGGCAGCAUGGGGGUUGCUUGCACUCCCCGAUGGCGACCGGCGCACGGGUGAGUAACGCGUAUCCAACCUGCCCUUCACCACGGGAUAACCCGGCGAAAGUCGGACUAAUACCGUAUGUUUUCCAUUGACGGCAUCCGAUUUGGACGAAAGGUUUGGCGGUGAAGGAUGGGGAUGCGUCCGAUUAGCUGGACGGCGGGGUGACGGCCCACCGUGGCGACGAUCGGUAGGGGUUCUGAGAGGAAGGUCCCCCACACUGGAACUGAGACACGGUCCAGACUCCUACGGGAGGCAGCAGUGAGGAAUAUUGGUCAAUGGGCGUAAGCCUGAACCAGCCAAGUAGCGUGCAGGAUGACGGCCCUAUGGGUUGUAAACUGCUUUUAUGCGGGGAUAAAGUGGCCCACGUGUGGGUUUUUGCAGGUACCGCAUGAAUAAGGACCGGCUAAUUCCGUG
rnacentral:rRNA from 1 species